rnacentral:lncRNA from 1 species
GUGGGGGUGCGGGCUGGGGAGAGAGGAGGGAGAGCGGAGCGGCGGCUCCUCCCCGGCCCCCUCCCCGGCCGCGCUGCUCCGGGCGCUGCGACGCCGGCCGGGCCGCCGAGAGCCAUCUGCGGGCCGCGCGCCGCUCCCGGGCAGCCGGUCCUCGCCGCCGUGUACGCGCGUGUGUGUGUGUGCGCGCGUGUGUGUGCUUGUGCGUGUUUUUUUCCAUUUCCCAGAUACAGCUGAUCGGGUUCGCCCCGCGCCCCAGCGAGCGAGGGAGCGAGCGCUCCUCGGACUCGGGUGGAGGAAGGCACGGAAAAGUAUACUGGAGACAAAGUGGGGCUUUUCGGGGUGGCGGUGAUGCAGAAGGAGGGAGUGGAGGGUCCACAAAUCAGUCCGUUUUUAGAGCGAUCCUGGGUAGGAGCCGCAAUACAUGUCACGCUUCCUUUUAAAGAGGGGGUGGACUGUGAGAUGCAGGUAGGUCUGGGAUUAAAAUGAUACGUGCGGAGGUUUAACGCUGAGCUCGCUGCAUCCGAUAUAAAGGAGCAACACUGGCUGAGCCCCAGUCAACCACCAGCAAGAUUACUGGGAACAAGAAUAUUUACACCCCCACCACCACCACCACCUCUGACAGGGUCCCUGGGACUAUGGAUACAGCAGCUAUUUAAAAGUAUAUGUUACAAACAUUAUCUCGCUCAGUGUCCCCAGACCGACUCAGGAGCGCAGUCCAACACUGGAUUUACACGAUUUUGACACCUGGGUAACAAAGUUUAAAGUUUAUUAGGCAAGACAUAUCAAACGCUAGAAUCUCAGACUCCAACUUGAAACCGAAGAAAGUUCAUUUUGGCUUGACUUUCUGAGAUGAGAAAUACCCAGCACGGGUUCUCUAGAUAAGGCAGCUCUGGGCUUUGCAAGGUAACAGACGCUGAAGAGAGAGCCUCCAGCCACAGAGAGAAGAUGCCUUUCGCUGGGGACAGUAAACGGCUUUUAAUAAAGCAGGCGAGUUUAUCACUUAAAGAUCCUAUAAAAGCUAGGGCUCGCAGGAGCUGGGAAGUAGAAACUUUCAUGCCUACUCCAGUAGAUGCAUGUUUUUUAGGUUGAACGGGGACCAGCAGUUUUCCUGCGUCCCUCACAUUUAGUCAGAUCAAAGGUUGAAUCGUGUGUUGUGACAAGAGUAUUUAUGAGGUUCGUUGCUAGAACCCCAGGCUGGCUGGCUAUUACCACCAUCUUCUGCGACGGGGGGGGGGGGGGACACCACGCCUUUCUAGGACAUUUACAAUUUCAGCUUCAGGUUCAUCAAACUGUGAAGAGAUAGGAAGUCUCCUCUUUGAAUCAGAACAGCGGUGUUAGUAUGUCACAGUGUAUACUCUGUGGGAAACUUUAGGCACGGAAUUCAAACGUUAAGAAGAGGAGGAGGAAGAGGAGGAGGAAUAAUAAGGUCAACCAGGUUGGUGUCAGCAAUAAGAAAGGCUUUCAGGAGCAUCACCAGCCCUCUGCAGGCCCUUUCCCGCCCCCAGACACCCCUCCCUCCACCGUGCAAAUGCUCACCCUCACACUCAUGCCUCCAGCGAUCGCUAGGCUAGUGUAUCCAGUGUUCUAAUGGGGACGUGACAGUUUAGGCUGGGAACUGAAAUGGCUCCCAACAUGCCCAUGAGCUGCAGUGUGGAAUAAUAAUGCUUCUAUUGGUUGGGUCCCUUUCGAGAGGAAACCAUUCGCUGCUUUCAGGAGGACAGAGAGUUCCUUGGCACUGGAGUGCUGCCGAGGAGGAGCAGUGGGUGCUCUGAGGAGGAGAGGGAUCAUCCCACGCUUCCUCGAUCCAUCUUGAUCUCUUCCUGUCACUGCAUAUCACUGCCAAUGGUGGGAGAGAGAUGGAGUUUGAGUUGAAGGAAAAGUGCAGAAGUGAGGUCCUCUCUGGAUCUGGAGAAGGGUCUGCUGGAAAAAAAAUUUUGAGGGAGUUUACUGUUUGUGCAAGGUGACUGGCUGAGUAAAGAAGACCAAAGUAUUUUUUAUCUGCAGAACAAAUAAGGCCUGGUCAAAGGUAACUGAAGCGAACAUCUCCCACCUUGUCCCUUUUGCAUGGCUAAGGGGGCUGUUUGUGCUCUUGAUUGCACAAGAGAGAAUCCAAUCUAUGCAAGUCCAGUGAGGAGGGGUCCAUUUAGGGGUAUUACUGCUAAAAUAGCCACUGACCUUUAUUCUUAGCUUGACAGGCAACCUAGGCAAAAAUCAGGUAAGAAAUGAAAAAUCUAUUCAUUGAUGGGAUGUUGCUAAAUAUGCAGCAUCUGAGUUGCUGAAUUAAAAUUUUUUUCUCUUUCCCCAAAGAUAAAGCAAGUUUACGAAUUCAUGGAUGUUGCUGAUCUGUACGCUUGUUGUUGGUUCAUGACUAGAGAGACAACUGCAUUGUCCUGUGAUUGUUCCAUAAUAAUUACUAGCAAAUAUUCAGAAUGGACAAACGUUCCAAAAAUGUGAAUUAUAUUGAGGAGCUUAACUAGGUUUUUAGAAGAUGACUUUCUAUGCAUAAAUAUUGGUGGGAAAACGGGAUAUGCCUGAAUGGCUGAGUAAAACACUUAUUAUUGGGGAAAAAUUAAAAAUACUUGGGAUCUCAGAGGGCUUAACUGUCCAGAGAUGUACUUAAUAGUUUUCUUUAUUCUGCCUACUGUUUCUGUUGGAACAUAAGGUGCAUAAAUUCAAGUAAAAGGGGAUUUUAUGUGGUACGAUCAUGGAACGUGACAAUGAAUGAAGCAGUAGUCAGUUAUGGAUGGAAGCUAAGUAAAUAAAAGCAGAUGAACUCUCAUUUUUAAAUUAGGUAGUGGAGAGUUUCAUAAACUUUUUCUAAGGAUGC